rfam:Chlorobium phaeobacteroides BS1, complete genome.
UUGCAAGUGGUGUUCAUGUGGUAUCCUGAAUCCAAGGGACAGGGAUGCGCAAUACCUGAUCCCCACCAUUUGUAU